GAGCAAGGCCAGCUCUGACCACUGGUCUCCAAGAAGGCCAGCUUCCAUGGCCUGUUGGGUCUUGAGAUAGGGAGAAGUGCUUUUUUUUCAGGAGGAGGAGUUUGUCAUUGUCAAAGCCGUUAAAUUCCAGAAACAGAGAGGCAGAUGUGCUUUUCCACGGAUGCUCAGAAAUGUGACUUCAUCCAGUAGAUCAUCGACAAAUAUUUAAUGCAUUGAAGGAUGGUCCAAAUGAGAAGUACCCCAGGAGAGUCCUGCCAGGCUGCCCUGCAAUUUCUGGGCUAUAAAGGAGUCCCAUGAGAUCAGGAUCAAAACUUUCUGUGGGUUUGCAAAAACAUCUUCUUUCACAUGCACAGUGAAGUAGGACAAGGGCUACAAAUGAAUGAAUCCAGAAAGUGCUCUGCUCUGGGGAGAAGCAUCUUUCCCGGUUGGACGGUGGCACAUCAGCCGUUGCCAUGUUUCCCCCUUCAAUCUGAAACCCAUGGACUAUGAUAUGCUGCUCAUUAGGUCACAGUGUCACUGCAGCCAUGGGUGACCAGCCAGCCGGUGUGCCUACAGCUUCUGAAUGGCGUUUUCUGACUGUUACUGUAUUGGUGGUUUCGAGAAAAUUGAAGGAGAAAGAAACAUCAGUUGAAGUUGCCUACAGCAAGACAUAGCAAGGUCACAUCCUGAUAAAGACAUUUUCUCAGCCACACUGUUCGUCUCAAAAGAACAGAAGCAAUGAAACCAACAUUCUAGUAGAGGAGCUUUCAGGUGGCCUUCAGCCACCUGUCAGCAGUUCAUAGGCAGGCUCCAGACUCCACAGAAAUGGAGGAAACUCAGUGCAUCUCAUGGAAGGAGGACCUCACACUGCCGAGUGGAGUGGCAUUUCCAUUUAGAACAUUGAGUAAUAGAGACGCAUCGCAGUUUGGAGCAAACAAAGGUGUGAAUACGAAGGUGAAGGAGGGCAGUGUGAAGCCUCUGACAUCCAGCAGUGCCGGGGGAGCAAAUGCAGUGUCUCCAGAAUCACUCGCGGCUACUGCAAAUGCUUUGCCUGUUUUCUGAAAUUUAUCCAGUCUCUUUCUACCCCAGCACCAACAUGGCCACCCUCUAGAUUACCCUGGAACACCUCGAGUCGGUGAUUUUACUGAAUAAACGUGGCAUUGCAAGUCUGUGAGUAAAGUGUAAGUCAUGCAAUGAUCGACCCAGAAAUCACCGGAUUAUUAUUAUUUUUCAAUGAGUAAUUACCCAACGCCUGCUUGGGGGGCAGGCCAGGCAUGGUUCUGGGUGCUGAGAACUAGCAUGUGAACAAAAGAAAU